CCUCUCACACCUGUGCACUAUGUGUAGCUUGGGAUGAUUACAAUGUUGGAAACAAUGUUGAAAGCCCUAGCUAUGAAUUUUUAUACACCCAUAUAUAAAGUUAUAGAGUGGAUAGCGUAUAAUAGCGCAAAUAUAUACAACUUUCAGCAACGGAUCUCUUGGCUCUCGCAUCGAUGAAGAACGCAGCGAAAUGCGAUAAGUAAUGUGAAUUGCAGAAUUCAGUGAAUCAUCGAAUCUUUGAACGCACCUUGCGCUCCUUGGUAUUCCGAGGAGCAUGCCUGUUUGAGUGUCAUGAAAUUCUCAACUGCCCUUUUAGCAUUUAUGUUAAGGGUGAAGUUGGAGUUGGAGGAUAAUUGCUGGCGCAACUAAGGUUGCUUGUUGGCUCCUCUUGAAUGGAUGAGCUUUUCUGAUAGAUCAUAGCUCAGUAACACUAAUGUGAUAAUUAUCUACGUUAGAUGUGAAAGCUGUGAGUAGAGUGACUUCAAAUAUGAAGAUGCUCCUACAGAAAAGGUAUGUCUUGGGGAAAACAAACCCUUGACUUUCAAAUACAAUGACAAAUCUACCUCAAAUCAGGUAGGAC
rnacentral:rRNA from 1 species